CUCCUACGGGAGGCAGCAGUGAGGAAUAUUGGACAAUGGGCGCAAGCCUGAUCUAGCCAUGCCGCGUGGACGAUGAAGGCCUUAGGGUUGUAAAGUCCUUUCAGAUGGGAAGAUAAUGACGGUACCAUCAGAAGAAGCCCCGGCUAACUCCGUGCCAGCAGCCGCGGUAAUACGGAGGGGGCUAGCGUUGUUCGGAAUUACUGGGCGUAAAGCGCACGUAGGCGGAUUGGUAAGUUAGAGGUGAAAUCCCAGGGCUCAACCCUGGAACUGCCUUUAAUACUGCUAGUCUUGAGUUCGAGAGAGGUGAGUGGAAUUCCGAGUGUAGAGGUGAAAUUCGUAGAUAUUCGGAGGAACACCAGUGGCGAAGGCGGCUCACUGGCUCGAUACUGACGCUGAGGUGCGAAAGUGUGGGGAGCAAACAGGAUUAGAUACCCUGGUAGUCCACACCGUAAACGAUGAAUGCCAGUCGUCGGCAAGCAUGCUUGUCGGUGACACACCUAACGGAUUAAGCAUUCCGCCUGGGGAGUACGGUCGCAAGAUUAAAACUCAAAGGAAUUGACGG
rnacentral:rRNA from 1 species